CCUACGGGCGGCUGCAGUGAGGAAUAUUGGGCAAUGGGCGGAAGCCUGACCCAGCAACGCCGCGUGGAGGAAGACGGCCUUCGGGUUGUAAACUCCUUUUACGGGGGAAGAGGAAGGACGGUACCCCGAGAAUAAGUCACGGCUAACUACGUGCCAGCAGCCGCGGUAAUACGUAGGUGACAAGCGUUAUCCGGAAUUACUGGGCGUAAAGCGCACGCAGGCGGCGCAUUAAGUCUGACGUGAAAUCUCCCGGCUUAACUGGGAGGGGUCGUUGGAAACUGAUGUGCUUGAGGCGGUGAGAGGGGUGUAGAAUUCCCGGUGUAGUGGUGGAAUGCGUAGAUAUCGGGAGGAAUACCAGUGGCGAAAGCGGCACCCUGGCACUAGCCUGACGCUCAUGUGCGAAGGCGUGGGGAGCGAACGGGCUUAGAUACCCGUGUAGUC
rnacentral:rRNA from 1 species